rnacentral:pre_miRNA from 1 species
CUAGUACUCCCUCCGUCCGAAAAUAUUUGUCAUCAAAAUGGACAAAAAGGGAUGUAUCUAGAACUAAAAUACAUCUAGAUACAUCCCCUUUUAUUCAUUUUGAUGACAAGUAUUUCCGGACGGAGGGAGUAGUAU